GGUAGGCACAGCGGCUGCGCGCGGGGCGACGAGGGACGCACCGAGCGGCGCGCCCUACUCCGCGUGAGGCGCUCGAGCCGGGCCGCGGAUGGCGGGCCUCGGGGAGGGGAUGCCAGGCGGGCUCGCAGACGUCUCCAUGUCGCCUGCCGUGCGUGACGCGCCGCGGAGGAGCCUUUCCCGAGAGAUGACCGAAACAGAGGAGGACUUCAGUCCUUUUCCUGGAGGGUAUGACUAUUUGGUUGACUAUCUACCUUUAUCCUUUGCAAAAGAAAGCCCGAGCUGGGAACACAUGUAUGAGGAAGUUUUGCAACCAUUUUCAAAUCAAACUGCCUCUAACACCGCCCAGCUGGAGGUCCUUCCCGAUGCACUGGGGGUAGAGCAGGCCUGAGCUUCCCAGAUUGCUGUGGCGAGGACCUCCAGUACUGUGCUAAAAAGAACUGGUGUUGGAACAGGCAGUGGCUGGACAAUGCCACGUUACCAGCUGGGGAGACGUCCGCUUUGCACUCUCUGAUUUUGAAGGCAAAACACAGUCUGCGGCAGCCCGGGGAGAGGGACUACACAGCACCUGUCACCGAGAAGCAGCCUCGCUAUUCGGACACACAGUCAGUCAAACAAACGAACAAGCAAGAGCUUUAACCGACGAGGGCCAUCUGGUCGCUGGCCAGAGUGUGAGGUGCUAGGGACCCAGCAGUGAAGAAAUCACGUGCCCUAAAACGUGAGGGCCAUUGCCCUGAUUUCGGCUCCAGCCAUCCUGCCCCGCGUUCCUGGCAGCCAAGCUCUGGUCUUCAGUCCCGCCUGCGGAGAGGGAUUCCCAUUUCAGGCCAUUCUUCCUGCAGACACGUACACCUGCCCUCCCCCAGCCAGCGCCCAGCUCCGCUGACGUGCAGCCGACACAGGAGCUCCGCUAGAAUAAAUUACCGCCCCAUCAUCUUCAUGCAUAAAACAUGGCCCCGGAGGCCUGGAGAGGCUCAGCCCUACAGCCCCGCGCGGCAGCUGCCUUCGGGCCGGUGGGGAGUUUCGGGAAGGAAAGGAAAAGCAAGUUGUAAGAUAAAAGAAGUCAACGGAAGCCUCAGACACAAAAAAAGAGAAGAGGGGUGGGGUUUUUUUGGUUUGAGUUUUUCCUUUUUUUUAAAAAAUUUUUAUGCACUUGGACUUGUCUUCUGUGUUGCUGGGUGCCCUUUUGCUCCCGCCAUGAGAGGGUUUUAGAAGGCUCACCUUGGGACCAUGGUUCUUCCUUCUCGAUUGCACUGGAUCCGAAGCAGGCCAUGGAGGGACCGGAUCCGGAGGCGACAGCUCAACCCAGCCAGAGGUAGACAGGGCCAGGUGAGACCAGCAGAGCGGAACACAAGUACCUGACUUAAUUAGAAGAAAAGACUUAAUCUGAAUACACACCAAAGGGAAGAAAAGCAGAAGAGCAUGGCCAAAUACAGGUGAGGUGUGAACCCAGACUUAAAGCAGGCUGCUUAAGUAAAUGGCCAGUUGAGGUGGGAGACAUUAGAGAAUUGGGGGGGGGGACUGUGGCAAACUGCAGAACCGAAGUCUAAAAGGCAUCAAUGUCAUUUCUUUGAACACCGUGUUAGCCCGUCCACCCCCACAAAAUGCCACCUGUCUGCAUGCCGGUUUAAAAUUUCUUGGAGAACAAGCUCAUUUUCUUUAAGCUUUUUUCCCCCAAAUCCUAUUGACCUUCUGUGCCUAAACGCAAUACCAAACUGGUAUUAGAAUACCUCCAGACAGGGAAGGGAUCCUUACCCCUAGGUUUUUUCCUGGGAUUGUCUUUUGGAAGACAAUCCCAGAAGAAAAAUCGGAAUCAGUAAAAUAAUUUUUUUAAGGCGCAAGGUAAAAAAGCAAAACUACAAGGAGACAGUUUGACAUUUUAAAGUCAGAGCUUAUGUGAUGAAUGUUCAUAAUUAUAGGAAGGGAAAAAAAGUAAUGGAACGGUGGAGGAAAGUUUAUCACCGUCAGUCCUAGAACUCUUAUUAGCCAUGCAUUGCUGGUGACAUUCACUCCAUCACCAGUAGCUAAAUGUUCCUGGUUUCGUGACUCUUUGUCAUUCAAUGGAUCAAACCCUUUCUUUUCUUCUUUUUCCUCUUAGGUGUUGGGAGGGGUGCGGAUUAAAUCACGCCGUGAGAUGCUUAUUUCAAUAACAAAUGUCAUGCAAAUUGAACAAGCGGCUAAUUUUACUGCUCGUGAAUAGAGCUCCCGUGGCUUCUCUUCAAGACUAAUGGUGGAGGAUGGGGUCCAUCCUUCUCCACUUGAAAUCCCUGAAGUUUACCUGGAGGGAUCCAGCUUCCCUUCAGUCUAAGUUUUCCAUUGUUGUGGGUUUAUUUCCUACAGCUCCAUUCCAUUGUCGAGGCCCUGUGCCUCGGAAAGUAUUGCGUGAACAGCUAUGUAUUAUUUUUAGAACUCUUCAAGAGGAGCCUUUCAAGCCAUGAUUAACCUCUUUUUCUGCAGGCCGAUGAAAGACCUCUUCCUCCUCCAGCUUCUCUUCCCCACCCCAGUACAUAAGAGAACCUCCAUGGAAAGCUGGGAAAAUUUAUUUCCAAGAAAGAUAAGCAAGAGAGGCCCUUCCUUCUUUCCCCCAAUUACUGUAAUAGUGCUUGGCAUCGAUGAGUAAACAGGCUUUGAAAAGGAAAUGCGAUGGGCUGAAUUGUCCUAAACUUUGCACAGAGCGUGUGCGGGGGGGAUCCCCGGAAUUCUCCAGCCGGGGACACACAGGACACGGAGAGGGCAGCUUGCCCCCCAUAGACCCUCAGAAAACAGAAGACAUUCGUUCAUUAAGGCUGCCUUCCUGGCGGAGAGGUUUUGGGAUUUCCGGCUCAUCUCCAAAGCUGGUGUGUCAAUGCUGUGCAUGUCUGUUCCCAUGACGACCGGCAGUUGUUGUCCUGGGCUUUUAAACAGAGUACAAAUGUGGUCUUGAAGAGAUACUUGUCAAAAUUUGCCAGACUGUUUCCCCUCCCGGACUCACACAAAAGGUUUUGAAGGUUCCUCGCUGCACUGAGAACAGAGACAGACUGAAAAUGUAGCAUUUGGCAACCGUGAGUGAUACAGCUCAAAAUCUUGGGUCCCCCGCUGCAGUAAUGGUGUUCCUUUCCAUCUGUCAUUUCAAUACUUUGGGGGCAACUCUAUAUAAUUAAAGAGAAGGACCAAGCAUAAGUGCAGGGGGAGGAAAGAAAUCUUGAUGAUUACCGGAACUGAGGCCGUGCUGACUUUGAGUGUGACUCAUAACUAUCUCUCCAUUUAAUAAGGGGUCAUUAUUACUGCCUGUUUUUAUUCUUAUUUUGGCUUCUCAAAUCUGUAUGUAGGUGAUGCACCAAGGGGGGAAAGAAAGCAACAAUGCAAAGCCAAGGGCAGGAUCGCACAAGCCCCUUGCUGUUGAUCCACCCACUUCCUGGGCCCUGUUCCCCCUCGCCCCUGGCGCCCCCUAGAGUUCCAAACCACUCAUAGUGCUUUGUGCCAAGUGACACACAGUUUUCAAUUACGCAGGGGUGGGUUGACUAAAUACAGGGGCUCUCUGAGUCCUUCAUGUCUCCUCCUCGGACGGCAAAAACAGGAAGCGAAACACUAGUUAAUCCAACACUUAGCAGCUUGCAAAAGGGUUUUAUUGGGAAGAUGGGACCCAGGGAAGUGAGUUGUGGAGACCUCCGUGGUUUAUGCCAACACCUUCUUCAGAGUGAUGAGGAAUCCCCAGUGGGCUCUGUGAAUGGAUGACACUGUGAGUUAUCACAUGACUCCACAAAGGUCACUCAGAAAGGCAAAUAACUAGGGGGUUUUUUGUUUUAUUCAUUUUUUGCAAAUCUUUAUAUCUCUAAAAGAAAACCAUGAGUGCUGAGUCAGUUACAAAAGGCUACAGGAAAUUUCAAAGUGAUCAUAUGUUCAUUUGGAUCCUAUUUAUGAAUUAUAACUUGACCCAUUAAAAAAAAAUGUUAAGUACAGUAGGACUUGGCUGCCCAUGUCUGACAUUCUUUGAGCAAACGAUCUUAGUUAAAUGAGGGACUCAUACACCCAGAGUUCUGAGGGCCACUCCAGGUCUAAAAUUCUGUCUCCCUCCGAGAAUUCCAGAAAAACUAAGUCCCAAACAUGCUGAUACACUUUAAUGAAUUUGUCUUUUGAAAAAAAAAAAAUACUAGUGUUGGGCAUAAGAGAAAGUCCUCCAAAAAAAGAAAGAAAGAAGGAAAGAAAGAAAGAAAA